rnacentral:rRNA from 1 species
UACGGGGGGAGCAAGCGUUGUUCGGAUUUACUGGGCGUAAAGGGCGCGUAGGCGGCCAGCACAAGUCAGUUGUGAAAUCCCCGGGCUUAACCUGGGAACUGCGCUUGUAACUGGCAAGCUUGAGUGUGGCAGAGGGGGGUGGAAUUCCACGUGUAGCAGUGAAAUGCGUAGAGAUGUGGAGGAACACCGAUGGCGAAGGCAGCCCCCCUGGGCUAACACUGACGCUCAUGCACGAAAGCGUGGGGAGCAAACAGG